AGGCUCCCAUGGAGGGCCACGGCUCAGCACCUACAGCACAGGAGCAGGAGCAGAAAGGCACGAUAACUCCACGGGCCGUGCCAGGCAGCCCUGAACUGAGCCAUGAAAAUUGCUUUGAAAUCACAGCAGACAAAGAGGAAACUUUUGGACGUAAUUUAUUUUGGGAUGUUCCAACCCAGAGCUAUCGUCCAAACCAAAAAAGAAGUCCAGCCCUGCCAAGUCCUUAAUCAUUGAAAAGAAGAGACCACAAAACUGAAUGAAAAGAGGAUUGGAACAAUUUUCCUACUCUGAAAAAGCCCCUUUUUUGGAGUUACUGUCAGACGAAAAUAAGGGAGCAACAAAACCCCUUAAUACAUCACUGAUGUAUCUUACUGGAGGUUACUUGCAGAGGCCAAACCUUUGAAAUGGGAGCAAUGCUGGAGUUUGUCCUUGCUGGGAGAGAGCUCAUAUGUGGACUUUGCAUUUCAGAAAAUAAAGCCUUACUAGCAUUUCAAGGGAAAUUUUCAACCA